rfam:Danio rerio chromosome 4, GRCz11 reference primary assembly.
GUUUCUGUAGUGUAGUGGUCAUCACGUUCGCCUAACACGCGAAAGGUCCUCGGUUCGCGACCGAGUGGAAACG